UUUCCGUAGGUGAACCUGCGGAAGGAUCAUUACUGAGUGAGGGCCCCUCGGGGUCCAACCUCCCACCCGUGUUUAACGAACCUUGUUGCUUCGGCGAGCCCGCCUCACGGCCGCCGGGGGGCAUCUGCCCCCGGGCCCGCGCCCGCCGAAGCCACCUGUGAACUCGUCUGAAGUAUGCAGUCUGAGACAAUUAUUAAAUUAAUUAAAACUUUCAACAACGGAUCUCUUGGUUCCG
rnacentral:misc_RNA from 1 species